rnacentral:rRNA from 1 species
AUUGAACGCUGGCGGCCGGCCUAACACAUGCAAGUCGAGCGGAGCGGCGGACGCGUACGUGAUGCCUAGGUAUCUGCCUGUUAGUGAGGGAUCACGUCCGGAAACGGGCGCUGAUGCUGCAUCCUAUCAGAUUCGCCUCGGUCGGAUUAGCUAGUGGGUGGGGUAAAGGCCUACAAAGGCGACGGUCCGUAACUGGUCUGAGAGGAUGACCAGUCACACUGGAACUGAGACACGGUCCAGACUCCUACGGGAGGCAGCAGUGGGGAAUAUUGGACAAUGGGCGAAAGCCUGAUCCAGCCAUGCCGCGUGUGUGAAGAAGGUCUUCGGAUUGUAAAGUACUUUAAGCGGGGAGGCGUUACCAACAGAAUAAGCACCGGCUAACUUCGUGCCAGCAGCCGCGGUAAUUC